rnacentral:rRNA from 1 species
CAAGUCGAGCGGUAGCACAGAGAAGCUUGCUUCUUGGGUGACGAGCGGCGGACGGGUGAGUAACGCGUGGGAAUCUACCUGGUAGUGGGGGACAACAGUCGGAAACGACUGCUAAUACCGCAUACGCCCUUCGGGGGAAAGUGGGGGAUCUUCGGACCUCACGCUAUCAGAUGAGCCCGCGUCGGAUUAGCUUGUUGGUGAGGUAAAGGCUCACCAAGGCGAUGAUCCGUAGCUGGUCUGAGAGGAUGACCAGCCACACUGGGACUGAGACACGGCCCAGACUCCUACGGGAGGCAGCAGUGGGGAAUAUUGGACAAUGGGGGCAACCCUGAUCCAGCCAUGCCGCGUGUGUGAAGAAGGCCUUCGGGUUGUAAAGCACUUUCAGCUGUGAGGAAAGGUGAGUGGUUAAUACCCGCUUGCUGUGACGUUAACAGCAGAAGAAGGACCGGCUAACUCCGUGCCAGCAGCCGCGGUAAUACGGAGGGUCCGAGCGUUAAUCGGAAUUACUGGGCGUAAAGCGCGCGUAGGUGGUUCAGUCAGUCAGAUGUGAAAGCCCCGGGCUCAACCUGGGAACUGCACCUGAUACUGCUGAGCUAGAGUACGGUAGAGGGUAGUGGAAUUUCCGGUGUAGCGGUGAAAUGCGUAGAGAUCGGAAGGAACACCAGUGGCGAAGGCGACUACCUGGACCGAUACUGACACUGAGGUGCGAAAGCGUGGGUAGCAAACAGGAUUAGAUACCCUGGUAGUCCACGCCGUAAACGAUGUCAACUAGCCGUUGGGGGACUUGAUCCUUUAGUGGCGAAGCUAACGCGAUAAGUUGACCGCCUGGGGGAGUACGGCCGCAAGGUUAAAACUCAAUGAAUUGACGGGGCCCGCACAAGCGGUGGAGCAUGUGGUUUAAUCGAAGCACGCGAGACUUACUACUCUGACAUCAGAGACUUCAGAGAUGAUGGUGCUCGGACUCUGAAACAGUGCUGCAUGGCUGUCGUCAGCUCAGUUGAAUGUAGUAGUCGUACGAGCCUCAUACUAUGCACGAUAGUCGACUUUAGCAACU